rnacentral:tRNA from 1 species
AUUCAUAUAGUUUAAAAAAAACACUUUAUUUUCAUUAAAAAAAUGAUUAAUUUAAAAUCUAUGAAUA